GACGAACGCUGGCGGCGUGCCUAAUACAUGCAAGUUGAGCGCUGAAGGUUGGUACUUGUACCAACUGGAUGAGCAGCGAACGGGUGAGUAACGCGUGGGGAAUCUGCCUUUGAGCGGGGGACAACAUUUGGAAACGAAUGCUAAUACCGCAUAAAAACUUUAAACACAAGUUUUAAGUUUGAAAGAUGCAAUUGCAUCACUCAAAGAUGAUCCCGCGUUGUAUUAGCUAGUUGGUGAGGUAAAGGCUCACCAAGGCGAUGAUACAUAGCCGACCUGAGAGGGUGAUCGGCAACAUUGGGACUGAGACACGGCCCAAACUCCUACGGGAGGCAGCAGUAGGGAAUCUUAGGCAAUGGACGAAAGUCUGACCGAGCAACGCCGCGUGAGUGAAGAAGGUUGUCGGAUCGUAAAACUCUGUUGGUAGAGAAGAACGUUGGUGAGAGUGGAAAGCUCAUCAAGUGACGGUAACUACCCAGAAAGGGACGGCUAACUACGUG
rnacentral:rRNA from 1 species